rnacentral:rRNA from 1 species
CACGUAGGGCGCAAGCGUUGUCCGGAAUUAUUGGGCGUAAAGAGCUCGUAGGCGGUCUGUUGCGUCCGCUGUGAAAACUCGGGGCUUAACCCCGAGCCUGCAGUGGAUACGGGCAGACUAGAGGUAGGUAGGGGAGAAUGGAAUUCCCGGUGUAGCGGUGAAAUGCGCAGAUAUCGGGAGGAACACCGGUGGCGAAGGCGGCAUCCUGGACCGGCAUUGACGCUGAGGCGCGAAAGCUAGGGGAGCAAACGGG